GAUGAAGAACGCAGCGAAAUGCGAUAAGUAAUGCGAAUUGCAGAAUUCCAGUGAGUCAUCGAAUCUUUGAACGCACAUUGCGCCCUUUGGUAUUCCGAAGGGCAUGCCUGUUCGAGCGUCAUUAUCACCCCUCAAGCCCUCGGCUUGGUGUUGGACGGUUUGGUGGAGGCCCCCUCGGGGGCUCCUGCCCCUCCCAAAGACAAUGACGGCGGCCUCGUUGGACCCCCGGUACACUGAGUUCUUCACGGGACACGUAUCGGACACAUGGGUUUACGGGACACGGUCUGCCUCCCCUCAGGGAGAAUCUUUCUAAGGUUGACCUCGGAUCAGGUAGGAAGACCCGCUGAACUUAAGCAUAUCAAUAAGCGGAGGA
rnacentral:misc_RNA from 1 species